rnacentral:rRNA from 1 species
UACGUAGGGAGCAAGCGUUGUCCGGAAUCAUUGGGCGUAAAGGGCGCGUAGGCGGUCAGCACAAGUCAGUUGUGAAAUCUCCGGGCUUAACUCGGAAAGGUCAACUGAUACUGUGCGACUAGAGUGCGGAAGGGGCAACUGGAAUUCUCGGUGUAGCGGUGAAAUGCGUAGAUAUCGGGAGGAACACCAGUGGCGAAGGCGGCACUCUGGGCCGGAACUGACGCUGAGGAGCGAAAGCGUGGGGAGCGAACAGG